rnacentral:rRNA from 1 species
UACGUAGGUGACAAGCGUUGUUCGGAUUUACUGGGCGUAAAGAGCGCGCAGGCGGUCGUGCAAGUCGCGUGUGAAAGCCCCCGGCUCAACUGGGGAGGGUCACGCGAUACUGUUCGACUCGAAGGCAGGAGAGGGAAGCGGAACUCCCGGUGUAGUGGUGAAAUGCGUAGAUAUCGGGAGGAACACCAGUGGCGAAGGCGGCUUCCUGGCCUGUACUUGACGCUGAGGCGCGAAAGCGAGGGUAGCAAACGGG